ACUCCAAAUGCUGAACUCCUCCUCCUCAUCAUCAUCAUCUCACAGGGCGCAUCUGCAGGCUGCAGCAGCACAGCGAAAUGACUUUAUCCGGAUACAUUUAAACUUUUCAUCUCGGUUCACUGGAUAUCUACCAACCAGAGAUGAACGAUAUUUAGGUCGAAAUCAAUCAAUAAAUUCAAGUAGUGAGUUUUAAAUUCACUGUAUCACUUUUAAUAUCCUAUAAUUCAAUUCGGAAUGGGAUUACGCAUACUAGGCAUGCCACUUUACGCAUACGCGUGCGUCUAUUUAAUUGUUUUCAUUCUUCAAACUGCCCAGUCUCAAAGAAAUGCAGCAAAUACACAAGGAAAUACCCAAAGAGCGCCUCUUCGGCAGACACUACAGUGGUCACACAACGGCAAGAUUUUUAGCAUUUUAAGUCAUGGCUCAGAGUAUCAGCCGGCGAGGCGCAGGGGCGCACCUCAGGAGCAAGUGCAGUCACGACCUGUCACCAUCAUCCGCGAUGCGGACGUGAGACAUCCGGGCGCAUCGAGCCAGACGCCGACCCAGCAGCAGCAGCAGCAGCAGCAGCAGCAGCCUCCCCGGCCGGCGUCCAACCCGCACAGCCCCCGCGGACUCCCCCCUCCGCUCCAAAGGCUCCUGAGAGGACAAGAGCCGCACCAGCAUCAGCAUGAGCGGCCUGAGGAGCACAGGGACAGCAGAGCCAAUGACACCACACAGAAGGUCACUGUCAGUCCACCUGUGCCCAGGAGAGAGGACAUGAUGGUGGGCGAUGACCCCUACGACCCCUACAAGUCCAUCGACGGUGACAAUCCAUAUUAUAAUUACUAUGAUGUUUAUGAGACACCGAGGAGGAGACAAAGACCUGGAUACGGCACAAGGUACCACCAGUACGGUCUGCCUGAUCUCGUACCAGAUCCCUACUACAUUCAAGCCUCUGCUUAUGCACAGAGAGUUCCCAUGUACAACCUGAGAUGUGCAGCUGAGGAAAACUGUUUGUCAAGUUCCGCAUACAGAGGCAGUGUUCGAGACUAUGACACCCGCAUGCUGCUGAGGUUUCCACAGAGAGUCAAGAACCAGGGGACCGCAGACUUUCUCCCCAGCAGGCCACGUUACUCCUGGGAGUGGCACAGCUGUCACCAACACUACCACAGUAUGGACGAGUUCAGCCACUAUGACCUGUUGGACGCCACCACGCACCGGUCAGUGGCGGAGGGCCAUAAAGCCAGCUUCUGCCUGGAGGACACUUCAUGUGACUACGGCUACUACAGGAGAUUUGCCUGCACCGCACAUACCCAGGGUCUGAGUCCAGGAUGCUACGAUACCUACAACGCAGACAUUGACUGCCAGUGGAUCGACAUUACAGAUGUGAAGCCUGGAAACUAUAUCCUCAAGAUCAGUGUAAAUCCUUAUUAUCAGGUCCCAGAAACUGACUACAGCAACAACAUUGUGCGCUGUGACGUUCGCUACACCGGCAACUACGCCUAUGUGUCAGGUUGUCACAUGUCAACGUAUUAAGAGAUGAAUGUCAUUCAGAGCACAUCGCUGGAGACGUUUUGUAAAUGACAGUGAGAAGGACUGCAUAUGAACUGAUAUAAUGAUAUUAAAAUCUACUUUGAAAUGUAUUUCAUUUUGUAAUUUAAAAUACUCAAAUGUAGAAGAAAAGAGGAAUCAUCCGACUUAUAACAGUAGUUUUUCUUUAGUGCCAGAUAAUAUUUUCUUUACUAUUGUGGAAAGUUGUUUCUUUACUGAAUGGUACUUCAUAUUCCUCUCUCACACUUUCUUGGAACUCUGUUUUUUCUUAUUUGAUUGCCUUAUUCUGUAUGAGUGUGUUUGAUGCCAUUUGUCCAAAUAAAAUCCACCAUAUGUAGAUAACUGCAAAGUA